rfam:Schistosoma margrebowiei strain Zambia genome assembly, scaffold: SMRZ_scaffold0005975
AUCCAACUGACGAGUCUAAAAUAGAACGAAACGCUUGUCCGGAAU